rnacentral:rRNA from 1 species
GAUGAACGCUAGCUACAGGCUUAACACAUGCAAGUCGAGGGGCAGCAGGGAUUUAGCUUGCUAAAUUCGCUGGCGACCGGCGCACGGGUGCGUAACACGUAUGCAAUCUACCCAUUACUGGAAGAUAGCCCGGAGAAAUCCGGAUUAAUACUCCAUAAUACUUCUGAACGGCAUCGUUUGGUUUUUAAAGAUUUAUCGGUAAAGGAAGGGCAUGCGGCUGAUUAGCUAGUUGGUGAGGUAAUGGCUCACCAAGACGACGAUCAGUAGGGGACCGGAGAGGGUGAUCCCCCACACUGGUACUGAGAUACGGACCAGACUCCUACGGGAGGCAGCAGUGGGGAAUAUUGGGCAAUGGACGCAAGUCUGACCCAGCCAUGCCGCGUGCAGGAAGACGGCCUUCUGGGUUGUAAACUGCUUUUGAUCGGGAACAAAGAGCCCUUGCGAGGGAAGUUGAGUGUACCGAUAGAAUAAGCACCGGCUAACUCCGUGCCAGCAGCCGCCGUAACAC